rnacentral:piRNA from 1 species
UGACAAGUCCCAAGCGAUAAUACAGGCUA